CCCAGUGAAUGAGCCGAUGCACUCGCAUCACGCACGUGCGCAUCGAUUAAUAUCGAUUCUUGUCCACACCCUUACAACAGAGACGCUGCUCAGGCAGGAAUUUCCCAGCAUGCCCUGAGGGCUCAGGGGUCAGCAGGUGCACAGCAUCAAUGGACACUGUGGCCUUCAAUACUUACACCGAGUUCUUCACACAUGCCCACGCCAUUUGUCACUUCCUCCAGUCUGAAGCCUGGCACAACCGAGCUGAGAACACCAUGCGCAGGCUGACGGAAAGUUCCGCAGGUGUUGUCGAGCAACUUCAAUCCACUCAGCAAAUUACUGAGGAGCUGAUGAGGCCCAGAGCGUUGCUUUACAGGCACAGCAGGAGAUCCUGGAAAGUGGGGAGGAGCUUAGAGUCACCCUGAGAGACGCUACCCAGG